UACGGAGGGGACUAGCGUUGUUCGGAAUUACUGGGCGUAAAGCGCACGUAGGCGGAUUUGUAAGUCAGGGGUGAAAUCCCGGGGCUCAACCUCGGAACUGCCUUUGAUACUGCAAAUCUCGAGUCCGGAAGAGGUGAGUGGAAUUCCUAGUGUAGAGGUGAAAUUCGUAGAUAUCAGGAAGAACACCCGUGGCGAAGGCGGUUCUCUGGGACGGUACUGACGCUGAGGCGCGAAGGCGUGGGGGAGCGAACGGG
rnacentral:rRNA from 1 species